UACGUAGGUGGCGAGCGUUGUCCGGAUUUACUGGGCGUAAAGGGAGCGUAGGCGGGCUUUUAAGUGAGAUGUGAAAUGCUCGGGCUCAACUUGAGUGCUGCAUUUCAAACUGGAAGUCUAGAGUGCAGGAGAGGAGAAUGGAAUUCCUAGUGUAGCGGUGAAAUGCGUAGAGAUUAGGAAGAACACCAGUGGCGAAGGCGAUUCUCUGGACUGUAACUGACGCUGAGGCUCGAAAGCGUGGGGAGCAAACAGG
rnacentral:rRNA from 1 species